ACAAGCAGAGGGGGCUUAGUGGUGGGGUGACUGCGUACCUUUUGUAUAAUGGGUCAGCGACUUAUAUUCUGUAGCAAGGUUAACCGAAUAGGGGAGCCGUAGGGAAACCGAGUCUUAACCGGGCGUUAAGUUGCAGGGUAUAGACCCGAAACCCGGUGAUCUAGCCAUGGGCAGGUUGAAGGUUGGGUAACACUAACUGGAGGACCGAACCGACUAAUGUUGAAAAAUUAGCGGAUGACCUGUGGCUGGGGGUGAAAGGCCAAUCAAACCGGGAGAUAGCUGGUUCUCCCCGAAAGCUAUUUAGGUAGCGCCUCGUGAAUUCAUCUCCGGGGGUAGAGCACUGUUUCGGCUAGGGGGCCAUCCCGGCUUACCAACCCGAUGCAAACUGCGAAUACCGGAGAAUGUUAUCACGGGAGACACACGGCGGGUGCUAACGUCCGUCGUGAAGAGGGAAACAACCCAGACCGCCAGCUAAGGUCCCAAAGUCAUGGUUAAGUGGGAAACGAUGUGGGAAGGCCCAGACAGCCAGGAUGUUGGCUUAGAAGCAGCCAUCAUUUAAAGAAAGCGUAAUAGCUCACUGGUCGAGUCGGCCUGCGCGGAAGAUGUAACGGGGCUAAACCAU
rnacentral:rRNA from 1 species